rnacentral:rRNA from 1 species
CCCUUAGAUGUUCUGGGUCGCACGCGCGCUACACUGAUGAAUGCAACGAGCUCUACCCUUGACCGAAAGGCCCGGGUAAACUUGUGAAACUUCAUCGUGAUGGGGAUAGAUUAUUGCAAUUAUUAAUCUUCAACGAGGAAUUCCUAGUAAGCGCGAGUCAUCAGCUCGCGUUGAUUACGUCCCUGCCCUUUGUACACACCGCCCGUCGCUCCUACCGAUUGAAUGGUCCGGUGAAAUCUUCGGAUUGCUGACCAAGAUCCAGCAAUGGAGCUUGGUUGCGAGAAGUUGAUUAAACCUUAUUAUUUAGAGGAAGGAGAAGUCGUAACA